AUUGAACGCUGGCGGCAGGCCUAACACAUGCAAGUCGAGCGGAUGAAGGGAGCUAGCUCCUGGAUUCAGCGGCGGACGGGUGAGUAAUGCCGAGGAAUCUGCCUGGUAGUGGGGGAUAACGUCCGGAAACGGGCGCUAAUACCGCAUACGUCCUGAGGGAGAAAGUGGGGGAGCUUCGGACCUCACGCUAUCAGAUGAGCCUAGGUCGGAUUAGCUAGUUGGUGGGGUAAAGGCCUACCAAGGCGACGAUCCGUAACUGGUCUGAGAGGAUGAUCAGUCACACUGGAACUGAGACACGGUCCAGACUCCUACGGGAGGCAGCAGUGGGGAAUAUUGGACAAUGGGCGCAAGCCUGAUCCAGCCAUGCCGCGUGUGUGAAGAAGGUCUUCGGAUUGUAAAGCACUUUAAGUUGGGAGGAAGGGCAGUAAGUUAAUACCUUGCUGUUUUGACGUUACCAACAGAAUAAGCACCGGCUAACUUCGUG
rnacentral:rRNA from 1 species